rnacentral:rRNA from 1 species
GGCGGCGUGCCUAAUACAUGCAAGUCGAGCGAAUGGAUUAAGAGCUUGCUCUUAUGAAGUUAGCGGCGGACGGGUGAGUAACACGUGGGUAACCUGCCCAUAAGACUGGGAUAACUCCGGGAAACCGGGGCUAAUACCGGAUAACAUUUUGAACCGCAUGGUUCGAAAUUGAAAGGCGGCUUCGGCUGUCACUUAUGGAUGGACCCGCGUCGCAUUAGCUAGUUGGUGAGGUAACGGCUCACCAAGGCAACGAUGCGUAGCCGACCUGAGAGGGUGAUCGGCCACACUGGGACUGAGACACGGCCCAGACUCCUACGGGAGGCAGCAGUAGGGAAUCUUCCGCAAUGGACGAAAGUCUGACGGAGCAACGCCGCGUGAGUGAUGAAGGCUUUCGGGUCGUAAAACUCUGUUGUUAGGGAAGAACAAGUGCUAGUUGAAUAAGCUGGCACCUUGACGGUACCUAACCAGAAAGCCACGGCUAACUACGUGCCAGCAG